AGCAGCCGCGGUAAUUCCAGCUCCAAUAGCGUAUAUUAAAGUUGCUGCAGUUAAAAAGCUCGUAGUUGAAUUUCGGGACUAAUAUGUCGGUCGUGCCUCGGUACGUACUGGCUUAUUGGUUUCUCCUUUCUGAAGAACCAUGAUGUCAUUUAUUUGGUGUCGUGGGGAAUCAGGACUGUUACUUUGAAGAAAUUAGAGUGUUUAAAGCAGGCUCACGCUUGAAUACAUUAGCAUGGAAUAAUGAAAUAGGACGUUUGAUUCUAUUUUGUUGGUUUCUAGGAUCGACGUAAUGAUUAAUAGGGAUAGUUGGGGGCAUUAGUAUUCAAUUGUCAGAGGUGAAAUUCUUGGAUUUAUUGAAGACUAACUACUGCGAAAGCAUUUGCCAAGGAUGUUUUCAUUAAUCAAGAACGAAAGUUAGGGGAUCGAAGACGAUCAGAUACCGUCGUAGUCUUAACCAUAAACUAUGCCGAC
rnacentral:misc_RNA from 1 species